ensembl:misc_RNA Metazoa_SRP Metazoan signal recognition particle RNA
GCUGGGUGUGGUGGUGCGCACCUGUAAUCCCAGCUACUGGGGAGGCUGAGGCAGGAGAAUCACUUGAACCUGGGAGGUGGAGGUUGCAGUGAGCCAAGAUUGUGCCACUGCCCUCCAGCCUGGUGACAGAGUGAUACUCUGUCUCAA